rnacentral:rRNA from 1 species
UGGGGAAUAUUGGACAAUGGGGGCAACCCUGAUCCAGCCAUGCCGCGUGAAUGAUGAAGGCCUUCGGGUUGUAAAGUUCUUUUGACGGGGACGAUGAUGACGGUACCCGUAGAAUAAGCUCCGGCUAACUUCGUGCCAGCAGCCGCGGUAAUACGAAGGGAGCUAGCGUUGUUCGGAUUUACUGGGCGUAAAGGGCGCGUAGGCGGUUUAGUAAGUUGGAUGUGAAAGCCCUGGGCUCAACCCGGGAAUUGCAUUCAAAACUACUUUACUUGAAUUCGGUAGAGGUUGGUAGAAUUCCCAGUGUAGAGGUGAAAUUCGUAGAGAUUGGGAAGAAUACCCGUGGCGAAGGCGGCCAACUGGACCGACAUUGACGCUGAGGCGCGAAAGCGUGGGUAGCAAACAGGAUUAGAUACCCCCGUAGUCC